rnacentral:rRNA from 1 species
GAGGUGGAAGCCUUGCGAGGGGUGGAGCCGACCGGUACUAACGGGCGAUCGCGGCA